rnacentral:rRNA from 1 species
UGGGCGCAAGCCUGAUGCAGCCAUGCCGCGUGUAUGAAGAAGGACCUUCGGGUUGUAAAGUACUUUCAGCAGUGAGGAAGGUGGGUAUGUUAAUAGCAUACUCAUUUGACGUUAGCUGCAGAAGAAGCACCGGCUAACUCCGUGCCAGCAGCCGCGGUAAUACGGAGGGUGCGAGCGUUAAUCGGAAUUACUGGGCGUAAAGCGCAUGCAGGUGGUUUGUUAAGUCAGAUGUGAAAGCCCGGGGCUCAACCUCGGAAUUGCAUUUGAAACUGGCAAACUAGAGUACUGUAGAGGGGGUAGAAUUUCAGGUGUAGCGGUGAAAUGCGUAGAGAUCUGAAGGAAUACCGGUGGCGAAGGCGGCCCCCUGGACAGAUACUGACACUCAGAUGCGAAAGCGUGGGGAGCAAACAGGAUUAGAUACCAUGGUAG